rnacentral:tRNA from 1 species
AACCUUUUAAGUUAAAGAUAGAGAUGUCAAAUCUCCGUAGUGA